AUUCUAUAGUUAAUUUAUAAUGUCGGUUUGCAAAACCGGAGUUGCUUGUUGUUGUUGCUAGAGUGUA
rnacentral:tRNA from 1 species